rnacentral:tRNA from 1 species
CAAGCAAUAGUUUAAUCAUUUAAAACAUUCCCUUUUCGAGGGAAGGAAGGAUGUGUAGUCCUUGCUUGA